CGGGGAGGUGGGACUGUCCCACACAGGUGUGGCUGCCAGGGCCCCGCCCCAGUGGAUGGGAGGGGGGAGGGGUCUGGAGGAGAGGGGCUGGCUCCUGGGCCCGGCUGACCCCUGCAACCGGUUAUUACAAUUUGGAUAAUGCUGCUGUGAGCCAGUGUGUAGAGGUGACCUUUUAAAAUUUGUUCUUAUAGUAGGUUCUUCAAGGUAGACUUAAUGGGUCUCAGAGUUGGACCAGUUUCAUGAUUUAUUCCUCUGACAGUGUGUUGAUUGUUGUUUCUUAGUUAAGACUCAGUUGUAAGCAAUGAAAAGUGUGAUUGACAGUGGCUAGGACCUGCUGAGGACACAAGAGGACACAGGGCGUUGGGAGACACCGGUCUGGCAACUCCCAAGGAGCUCUUCCUUAUCGCCACGAUAUGCUUUUUUUACAUCAUCGCCUCCUCUACCCUCAAUCCAGAAUUUGAAUCUACCUUUGAAUUCCUUAAUUCAUGCCUUUGGGAACUGCACAGGAGUCAGUGCAAGAUGGCAGAGGGUGGAGGAAGGACUAAAUUUCCCCGUUGAUACAGAGUAAAAGAAGUAUUUAUCAAGUGAGAAUGUAAAACUGAAGACAUUUAUGGUGUUUGGAAAGCAGUCCCAGUCUGAGGAUGCUAAGGAACACUGUCACCUUCCCCACGUAGCAGCUGCAUUAGGCCAGGCCAAAGAAGAGGAACAAUGAGAACCUCCUAAGAACUCUCAUCCUUCCACCCUGGCUCUCCCUGCUCCACUUAGAACAUAAAUCCUGACCCUUAUUCAUUUAGCUGCUUCUCCACAAUACUCCACUCCAGCUGCCUGAAGGCAGAGGUUUGGACAGUGCCAGCAAAGACGGGGGACAGAGGUCCGUUUGGAAUGGAGCCGUGGGCCUGACCUAUUGGCCCCGCUGCUUUGGGCCUGUGGCGAGGCAGUAGGUCAUGGUGGGAGCACUUGGCCGAGUGGAACUGUUCAUCUCACGCCCAGGAGGCAAAAGCAGAUACGGUGGCCAAUGACAUGUGGACAGAAUUGUUUCACUGGGUUGGAAGAAAAUCUCCCUCGAAGCAGCUGACCUCGUUGGGAGGCUCCUCCUUGGGCUCCUCCUUCCCCUUCCUGUGAAUAUCAUGCUGGAGUGACAACUACCACUUGGAUCAUGCGGUGACCCUGAGGACAGAAGCCCUAUGCUAAUGCAAGUGGGGGAUGAUUAGAAGGAUCCUAGGUCCUAGACGACCACAGAACUACCUUGUGAUCAGCUCACCUUAGUACUUUUUCAUGUUUGAGAAAUGUUACUUCAAAAAACUUUAUUUUUUGUCUCUAGGAUGGGAGGCUGAAUUUAAUUCCUAAUUGAGACAUAUGAUAAAUGCUAGUCAAGGGCUGGGGCCGUGGCUCAGUGGUAGAGUGCUCGCCUAGCAUGCGUGAGCACUUGGAUCCUCAGCACCACAUAAAAAUAAAAUUUAAAAAAAGAUAUUGUGCCCACCUAUAACUAAAAAAUAAAUAAAAAUAAAAAAUAAAUGCUAGUCAAGAUGAUUGUUCUCUCUUGGCAUCUUUUCUCUUGGGGACUGUCUGCUCUUGGGGUCCAGCCAUCUCCAGGCUGAUGUGUCCCACCAGUUAGUUCUGGUUAAAAUAAGAAGGAAACACGCUGCGCGGUAGAUUCUAGGGGUAUGUUGAAGCCAUAACUGAUAAGGCUUUUCUUUAGUUGGGGACUAUAGAAGGAAUCUUCUUGCCCAAUAUUUGUCAGUAGGCUGGCUGGUCUCUGUGACCUGAGAGAAUGUGUCCUACUCAAGGACAUCUCCACCUUAACUACAUGCCAUGAAUCUGCCACUCAGCCUUGCUCUGUUAUGAUGCUGAGUUGUAGAAGAUGAAGUUAGAAUGAAAAGCACAAAGAAAAGUUAGUGGUUAGGAAAAAGAGAAGCUUUCAUCUCUAAGAUUUGGUUGUUAUUUUUAUUUAAUUUUAUUUUUUGAUAUUGGAGAUUGAACCCAGGGGUGCUUAACCACUGAGUCACAUCCUCAGCCCUUUGUAAUAUUUUAUUUAGGGAUAGGGUCUCGCUGAGUUGCUUAGGGCCUCACUAAGUUGCUGAAGCUGGCUUUCAAUUUGUAAUCCUCCUACCUUGGCCUCCAGAGCCGCUGGGAUUAUAGGUGUGCGCCACCACACCCGGCUGAUUUUGUCAUUCUUACUGAAAAUAUUUUUUAAAACCACAUUCCUAUAAACAAUUACAAUUUCAAUCUUCCAUUUAAUAAAAUGUUUUGUAAGGAAAAUAAAGAGAAGAAGAAGAAUAUCUAGAAAUGCAGGAAAUUCACUUAAUUUUUAGGCUAGAAAAUUUUGUAUGAAGCAAGUUCAAUUCUAUACAAAUUUUUUGAAUUGGUAUUGUUUCGUUUACUUAAAAAGGGAUAUGGAUCAAAACAGUGCAAUUAUAAAUGUAUCAAUU